rnacentral:rRNA from 1 species
AGAUUGAACGCUGGCGGCAUGCUUUACACAUGCAAGUCGAACGGUAACAGGCCGCAAGGUGCUGACGAGUGGCGAACGGGUGAGUAAUGUAUCGGAACGUGCCCAGUCGUGGGGGAUAACGCAGCGAAAGCUGCGCUAAUACCGCAUACGAUCUAUGGAUGAAAGCGGGGGACCGUAAGGCCUCGCGCGAUUGGAGCGGCCGAUAUCAGAUUAGGUAGUUGGUGGGGUAAAGGCUCACCAAGCCAACGAUCUGUAGCUGGUCUGAGAGGACGACCAGCCACACUGGGACUGAGACACGGCCCAGACUCCUACGGAGGCAGCAGUGGGGAAUUUUGGACAAUGGGCGCAAGCCUGAUCCAGCAAUGCCGCGUGCGAGGAAGAAGGCGUUUGGUU